GGGAGUAGAUAGGUACUGGUGUAUCUACUGGUCUUCAAAACCAGCUUCUCGUCCUUUACGGCGAGAGGUGGGUUCGAUUCCCACAUACUCCCGCCA
rnacentral:tRNA from 1 species